rnacentral:lncRNA from 1 species
AUGGCAUGCACUCUAAGUGAGACAGCUGACUCUAAACUUUCCCAGUCCAUUCCAAACAUUGAAAAACGAUCUGCUGCAGAUUUUGUCAUUAUUGGUUGUGGCGGUCACCCUGUCACACCUUCUGCCAUAUAUGACCUGACUGUAUCUGUUUAUGGCUAUAAAGUGAUCAUCCCUGUUUUAGUUGUGCCAGGCCAAGCUGAUGAUAUGAUUCUGGGCAACAAUGCUAUCAAGUGGCUGAUCUCACAGGUGAAAGACACGGCUAAAGUCCAAACCGUCACAUCUUCAGCAAGUAAUGCUCAGGACAAUCUGCCUCAAUUGUUGUCUGUGCUGUCUUCCUCAAAUGACAGGGAGGGUGGAGCAGUGUCACACAGAAUCGGCACAGCUAAACUCAAGAGAUGUGUGAAUCUACAGCCCAUGUCCGAACAUUUAGUGUGGGCUAAGCUGUCUGCACCUGAUGUCUCUGCAGUGGGCAGCACAGUGAUCAUUGAACCCACUGAGUCCAAAUGCAGACCUGCACAAAUUCUAGUGGGGAGAGUUGUCACUCCCUUAUGGGGUGAUGGCUGGGUUCCAGUCAAAAUAGUGAAUCCCACUAAAAAAAUACUCACCUUGAAGAGAAAUGCUAAAGUUGCAGAUGUGUCCACCUGUUCUUCUGUGCAGGACUUACCUGAACCUGUCAGCAUCCAAUCCAGCGUGCAGCACACACAGAGCUCAUCACCGGUGCCUCGGUCAGAGGAAGAGAUGUCACGUGUCUUGACCGACAUGGGCCUUCAGGAUCUGGAUCUCUCAUCUUGUGAAGUCUCCCCUGAGUGGAAAGAUAAACUGUUGGAGAUCAUCGUGCAGUUUGAAUCAAUUUUUUCAAAACACAAAAUGGACUGUGGUGAGGCACCAGAUUUUGUCCACAGAAUCCGCCUGGUGGAUGACAAACCCUUCAGACUUCCGCACAGGCGGGUCCCGCCAUGCCAUUAUGAUGAGCUCAGGACUGCUCUAAAUGAAAUGGAGGAAUUGGGGAUAAUCAGGAAGUCCCAGAGUGAAUAUUCAUCCCCCCUUGUCCUGGUUGUCAAGCCGAAUGGUGACCUCCGCAUCUGUAAUGAUUUCAGGUGGUUAAACGCAAGAACAGUGAAAGAUGCGCAUCCAUUACCUCAUCAGACAGACGUUCUCGCUGCACUCGGUGGUAAUGUGUUUUUUUCCACAAUGGACUUGACCUCUGGGUUUUAUAAUGUUAGACUUCAUGAAAAUGACAAGAAAUACACAGCAUUCUCUUCCCCAUUCGGUCUCCAUGAAUAUAACAGGAUGCCUCAAGGCCUGACCAACAGCCCUGCCACAUUCAUGCGAAUGAUGAUGUCAAUUUUUGGAGAUGAGAACUUCACAAGUCUAUUAGGUUACCUGGAUGAUCUUAUGGUUUUUGCUCCGUCUGAAUGUGUUGCUCUUCAGCGUUUGCAGAUGGUUUUCUCACGCCUCGCAGCGAACAACUUGAAGCUCUGA